AACGAACGCUGGCGGCAUGCCUAACACAUGCAAGUCGAACGAGACCUUCGGGUCUAGUGGCGCACGGGUGCGUAACGCGUGGGAACCUGCCUUUAGGUUCGGAAUAACUCAGAGAAAUUUGAGCUAAUACCGGAUGAUGUCUUCGGACCAAAGAUUUAUCGCCUUUAGAUGGGCCCGCGUUGGAUUAGAUAGUUGGUAGGGUAAUGGCCUACCAAGUCAACGAUCGUUAACUGGUCUGAGAGGAUGAUCAGUCAGACUGGAACUGAGACACGGUCCAGACUCCUACGGGAGGCAGCAGUAAGGAAUCUUCCACAAUGGGCGAAAGCCUGAUGGAGCAACACCGCGUGAAGGAUGAAGGCCCUCGGGUCGUAAACUUCUUUUAUAAGUGAGGAAUAUGACGGUAACUUAUGAAUAAGGGUCGGCUAACUACGUG
rnacentral:rRNA from 1 species